ensembl:lncRNA
UGGGGUCAAUAGGGUCUCUGGGGUCUUUGGGGUCAUUGGGGUCUUUGGGGUUGGGUGACGUCACUGAGGUCAUGGGGUCAUUAGGGUCAAUGGGGGUCUAUGGGGUUGAUUAAAGUCAUUGGGGUCAUUGGGGUCAUUGGGGUUAUGGGGUCAAUGGGGAUCCUUGGGGUUGGGUGACGUCAUUGGGGUCAAUGGGGUCUAUGGGGUCGAUUAAUGUCAUUGGGGUCAUCGGGGUCAUGGGGUCAUUGGGGUCAAUGGGGGUCUAUGGGGUUGAUUAAAGUCAUUGGGGUCUUUGGGGUCAUUGGGGUCUUUGGGUGCUGCCAUUGGGGUCUUUGGGGUCAUUGGGGUCUAUGGGGUCGGGUGACAUCAUUGGGGUCACGGGAUCAAAGAAGGGGGUCCCAGAGGUCAAAGGUCGCCCCCUGCUGUCCCCGGCUGACCUCCGUGGGUCGGGAUCCUCCACCCCCCAACGCAGAUCCACCUCGCUCAGCCCCACGCCGUGUGGGGCAGCCAUCGCCCGCAGCCUCGGCAGCGCCGCCCUCACCAGGGCGUCGCGCUCGGCCGCCAUGUCGGCGAACGUGGACGACAGGAAGAGGCGGACGGUGCGCCAGCGCCUGCGCGGCACAGGCAAUUAGAGGCAAUUAGAGGCCAUCGCAGGCAAUUAGAGCCCGUUAGAGCUCGGUAGAGCCCAUCAGAGCCCAUUAGAGCUCGUUAGAGUGCAUCAGAUCCCAUCAGAUCCCAUUAGAGCCCAUCAGAUCCCAUCAGAUCCCAUUAGAGCUCGUUAGAGCUCGUUAGAGCGCAUCAGAUCCCCUUAGAGCCCAUUAGAGCUCAUUAGAGCCCACCAGAUCCCAUCAGAUCCCAUUAGAGCUCAUUAGAGCCCACCAGAUCCCAUUAGAGCCCGUUAGAGCUCGUUAGAGCCCAUCAGAUCCCACCAGAUCCCAUUAGAGCUCAUUAGAGCCCAUUAGAGCCCAUCAGAUCCCAUUACAGUCCAUCAGAUCCCAUUACAGCUCGUUAGAGCCCAUCAGAUCCCAUUAGAGCCCAUCAGAUCCCAUUAGAGCCCAUUAGAGCUCAUUAGAGCCCAUCAGAUCCCAUUAGAGCCCAUUAGAGCUCAUUAGAGCGCAUCAGAUCCCAUUAGAGCUCAUUAGAGCCCACCAGAUCCCAUCAGAUCCCAUUAGAGCUCAUUAGAGCCCANNNNNNNNNNNNNNNNNNNNNNNNNNNNNNNNNNNNAUCAGAUCCCAUUAGAGCCCAUUAGAGCUCAUUAGAGUGCAUCAGAUCCCAUCAGAUCCCAUUAGAGCCCAUUGGAGCUCGUUAGAGCCCACCAGAUCCCAUCAGAUAACAUUAGAGCUCAUUAGAGCCCAUCAGAUCCCAUUAGAGUCCAUUAGAGCUCGUUAGAGACCAUCAGAUCCUAUUAGAGCCCAUUGGAGCUCGUUAGAGCCCAUCAGAUCCCAUUAGAGCCCAUUAGAGCCUAUUAGAGCUCAUUAGAGCCCACCAGAUCCCAUCAGAUCCCAUUAGAGCUCAUUAGAGCCCAUCAGAUCCCAUUAGAGCCCGUUAGAGCUCAUUAGAGUGCAUCAGAUCCUACUAGAGCUCGUUAGAGCCCAUCAGAUCCCAUUAGAGCCCAUUAGAGUGCAUCAGAUCCCAUUAGAGC